AUUGAACGCUGGCGGCAUGCCUUACACAUGCAAGUCGAACGGCAGCACGGGGGCAACCCUGGUGGCGAGUGGCGGACGGGUGAGUAAUGCAUCGGAACGUGCCCCUGAAGUGGGGGAUAACGCAGCGAAAGCUACGCUAAUACCGCAUAUUCUGUGAGCAGGAAAGCAGGGGAUCGCAAAGACCUUGCGCUUUGGGAGCGGCCGAUGUCGGAUUAGCUAGUUGGUGGGUAAAGGCCUACCAAGGCGACGAUCCGUAGCGGGUCUGAGAGGAUGAUCCGCCACACUGGGACU
rnacentral:rRNA from 1 species